rnacentral:rRNA from 1 species
AUUGAACGCUGGCGGCAUGCUUUACACAUGCAAGUCGAACGGCAGCACAGGGAGCUUGCUCCUGGGUGGCGAGUGGCGAACGGGUGAGUAAUGUAUCGGAACGUGCCUGGUAGUGGGGGAUAACUACUCGAAAGAGUGGCUAAUACCGCAUGAGAUCUUUGGAUGAAAGCGGGGGACCUUCUGGCCUCGUGCUACUGGAGCGGCCGAUAUCAGAUUAGGUUGUUGGUGGGGUAAAGGCCUACCAAGCCUGCGAUCUGUAGCUGGUCUGAGAGGACGACCAGCGACACUGGGACUGAGACACGGCCCAGACUCCUACGGGAGGCAGCAGUGGGGAAUUUUGGACAAUGGGCGCAAGCCUGAUCCAGCAAUGCCGCGUGCAGGACGAAGGCCUUCGGGUUGUAAACUGCUUUUGUACAGAACGAAAAGGCUCUGGCUAAUAUCUAGAGAUCAUGACGGUACUGUAAGAAUAAGCACCGGCUAACUACGUG